rnacentral:rRNA from 1 species
GCGGCGUGCUUAACACAUGCAAGUCGAACGGACCUUCUAUGAAGGAGAUUUCGGUCAACGGAAUAGGUUGCUUAGUGGCGGACGGGUGAGUAACGCGUGAGGGACCUGCCUUUCAGAGGGGGACGACAGUUGGAAACGACUGCUAAUACCGCAUAACACAUAGGUGUCGCAUGGCAUUUAUGUCAAAGAUUUAUCGCUGAAAGAUGGCCUCGCGUCUGAUUAGCUAGUUGGUGAGGUAACGGCUCACCAAGGCGACGAUCAGUAGCCGGACUGAGAGGUUGGCCGGCCACAUUGGGACUGAGAUACGGCCCAGACUCCUACGGGAGGCAGCAGUGGGGAAUAUUGGGCAAUGGGCGCAAGCCUGACCCAGCAACGCCGCGUGAAGGAAGAAGGCUUUCGGGUUGUAAACUUCUUUUGGCAGGGAAGAGUAGAAGACGGUACCUGUCGAAUAAGCCACGGCUAACUACGUGCCAGCAGCCGCGGUAAUACGUAGGUGGCAAGCGUUGUCCGGAUUUACUGGGUGUAAAGGGCGUGUAGCCGGGUUGACAAGUCAGAUGUGAAAUCCUGCGGCUUAACCGCAAAACUGCAUUUGAAACUGUUUGAUCUUGAGUACUGGAGAGGCAGACGGAAUUCCUAGUGUAGCGGUGAAAUGCGUAGAUAUUAGGAGGAACACCAGUGGGGAAGGCGGUCUGCUGGACAGCAACUGACGGUGAGGCGCGAAAGCGUGGGGAGCAAACAGGAUUAGAUACCCUGGUAGUCCACGCUGUAAACGAUGGAUACUAGGUGUGCGGGGACUGACCCCCUGCGUGCCGCAGCUAACGCAAUAAGUAUCCCACCUGGGGAGUACGAUCGCAAGGUUGAAACUCAAAGGAAUUGACGGGGGCCCGCACAAGCGGUGGAUUAUGUGGUUUAAUUCGAUGCAACGCGAAGAACCUUACCAGGGCUUGACAUCCUACUAACGAAGUAGAGAUACAUUAGGUACCCUUCGGGGGAAGUAGAGACAGGUGGUGCAUGGUUGUCGUCAGCUCGUGUCGUGAGAUGUUGGGUUAAGUCCCGCAACGAGCGCAACCCUUAUUGUUAGUUGCUACGCAAGAGCACUCUAGCGAGACUGCCGUUGACAAAACGGAGGAAGGUGGGGACGACGUCAAAUCAUCAUGCCCCUUAUGUCCUGGGCUACACACGUAAUACAAUGGCGGCCAACAGAGGGAUGCAAAGCUGUGAAGUGGAGCGAACCCCUAAAAGCCGUCCCAGUUCAGAUUGCAGUCUGCAACUCGACUGCAUGAAGUCGGAAUCGCUA